GGGUGUCAAUGGUGCUUUUAUUGGUCAAUUUUGUUGUAACUAGUAUUCUUUGUAUGUUGGCCUAUGUUAAUUUAAUAGGCCUACAUUAAAUUGUAUUGGGAACAUACACAUUUAGCAGAUGUUAUUGCGGGUGUAGCGAAAUGCUUUUGUUUGUAGCUCCAACAGUGACAUGAGUUGGGGUCAAUGUGAAUUGAAGUCAGUCAAUUCAGGAAGUUAUUUGAAUUUACAAAAUGGAGAGAACUUGACAUAAAUAGCUUCUCCUUGUCCGCUUAUUUAGAAGUAAAUGGAAAUAGAUAAACCUACCUCUAUUGCAUUGGAAUAUAAUUUCUCAAAUUGACCCCAACCCUGAGGCCUAAAUUCAACACUUAAAUGAAAUGAGGAUCACACUGCGCAACAUGCAUUAUGGUUCCAUAGGCUCUCCAAUUCACCUUCAUUUACAGUUUUACUCUGUUCAAGUAGACAGUUAUCAAUAGUUUGUUUCUUUGUUAUUAGUCAUUCAAAAUGUACAGGCCUACGGUAUUUGGCACCCUCUGCUGGUGAUUUGCAGGAUGUGCAAUGAUACGCGUAAAAGGAGGGCUGUGAUUGCCUACUAUGAUCCAUUUUAUAGAGAAAUUGGCAUAACUUUAAAACUAGCAGAGAUCCAACUCUGGAAAUUUGAUAUGCCUGUAGAGUAUGUUCAACAAUAUAUUGUAACAUUCCCAUUCAAAAUAUUUAUUUUUAGUCAUGUAAGAAAAUUGUUACUUAAAUCAAAAUACUACUCUUAUUAUAGGGCAAGCGGUAAAGCUUGAUUUGACAUGUAGUCAGUGAUAUGUAGCCCAAAAUCAUGUUUAAUGACAUUUCAUCUUUCAAUCAUGCAAGACUUCAUGUAUGCAUAUGGUUCCCGCCAUAGAGCUAACAAUAGGCCCCAAUCACCACACAACCCCCACCCCAAGUGCCACAAGACGCACUUGCCGUGGCUGAGAGAUCUUGGGUGAAGAGGCAAGAAUUGGGUUAAUUUGCAUAACUGUUUAAAUGCUUUAAAAAAAUUGAGACUAGAAAUAAGGAUGUUCUCUUUUGUAUUGCACGUUCCUUGGUUUAAUAGUUGAGUUUUAUUCCCCCCUUAUUAUUUGUAUUUCACAGCAACACCUACAGUCCACAAUCUUAAUUUAGUUUGAGGAUAUGCAUUUCUAAAAUGUUUAUUGUUACAAAAACAUUCUUUCCUUACUUUGUCCUGGUGGUCGGUAUUUCUAAUCUUCGUGCCUUAGUGGAUAAUAUUGUGCCCAUGUCAAACCGAGCUGGUAGCACAGGUCAUGCUGACCAGACUUGGCUUCAUGUCCACUCUCCUGGAGCCAGAGCUCCACAUCUGGAGGCAGAUGUUUAUGGGAUUGUGUUACCACAAGGCCUUGUCCCUGCCAUUGUCCAUCCAUCGAUCAGGCAGGGAAAAGGUUUAAAGAACUCCUCCAUGAUGCUCUGUUCUGGUGGACUGAGUAAAUCCUUAAUUACCAUUACUAGUAGCAUAAAGGAAUGACUUAAGUGAAAAUCACCAUUUCCACGACCGUGCAAAGGACUAAAACCCUGGAAUGUCACAUGUAAUUAUUUGCAGGUCUUUGUACAUUACUUCCCACGUCGCAUUGACGUCGUAAAGGAUCCAAAGUACCAGUAGCAGCUGGCAUUGGAGUAUGAAGACCAAGCAUGGGAGCUAGGUGUGACUUGUGCCUUCCCACUGGUUCCCCUGCUCCCACAAUAAAGUACACCUGAGUGAUGAUUGUGGGAUUGCAAUUUUGGCCACGCUGAUCAGACACUUCGUUUGAGGGACUGCGGUGCAUGGCUGCUGCUAGGCCUACUUCUGCUGGGAUUUAAAGUGAUGGGAGUGGAGGCAAGAUUGGCCUACUUCUAGUGCACCCCCAGCAGGACCCCCUCUUGCAGCACCACCUGCUCCUCCAAUGGCUGGCCUUGUGAUCCACAGUCAUGGGGGCAGAGGCAAGGUUGGACACCCAGUAGCUGUCGUUCCAUCAGUUCAGCUGUGUGGAGGCAAAUAAGUACUUUCAGCCGACUCGCAGGGGUAAAGUGAACAGUGCGGUUAUCUGCAGCCCCAGGAUCACCCUUGAUGGUCAAUGUGACAGGGAGGUGGACGUUCAGUCACCUUUCUACCACACCGGUCUUUCUUUUUUUUUUUUUACUAAUCAACUGCUCAACAUUACCUAGAGUAUUAGAAUCUGGUCGAGAACAAAAUGUCGAACAGCCUGCAACUAGGUGAAGAGAAGCCCUGAUGGGUGAACUGUUAUUCUUCAAGCUACUUUAUUCUACAUUUUCUUGUAAAUAUUUCAUGGGUGUAUGUUGAUUUGUGUAUUUUCCAGGAGCUUGCUCGGUUGUCUUAUUAAAAAGAGAACAGAGACGAAUUUGUCAGUUUCUCCUAUAUUGGCUCAAAUUGGUUACUGUUUUUUACUUCCCUCUGGAAAGUUGUUUAUUUAAAUAAAUACUGAAUAAAACA